rnacentral:rRNA from 1 species
UGAGGAAUAUUGGUCAAUGGGCGAGAGCCUGAACCAGCCAAGUCGCGUGAGGGAAGACAGUCCUAUGGAUUGUAAACCUCUUUUGCCGGGGAGCAAAGAGUGGCACGUGUGCCGCGCCGAGAGUACCCGGAGAAAAAGCAUCGGCUAACUCCGUGCC